GACGAACGCUGGCGGCGUGCCUAAUACAUGCAAGUCGAACGCUGUGGGGACGGGAGAGUAACACGUGGGUAACCUCCCAUCAGAGGGGAUAACACUUGGAAACAGGUGCUAAACCGAUACUGAUGGAUGGACCCGCGGUUCAUUAGCUAGUUGGUGGGGUAACGGCUCACCAAGGCCACGAUGCAUAGCCGACCUGGGCGGGUGUUCGGCAACACGGGAACUGGGACCCGGCCCGAACUCCUACGGAGGGCAGCAGUAGGGAAUCUUCGGCACUGGACGAAAGUCUGACCGAGCAACGCCGCGUGAGUGAAGAAGGUUUUCGGAUCGUAAGACUCUGUUGUUAGAGAAGCGGUAUCUAACCAGAAAGCCACGGCUAACUACGUGCCAGCAGCCGCGGUAAUUC
rnacentral:rRNA from 1 species